rnacentral:rRNA from 1 species
GCGUUGUUCGGAAUUAUUGGGCGUAAAGGGUGCGUAGGCGGUUGUUUAAGUCUGUCGUGAAAUCCCCGGGCUCAACCUGGGAAUGGCGAUGGAUACUGGCGAGCUAGAGUGUGUCAGAGGAUGGUGGAAUUCCGAGUGUAGAGGUGAAAUUCGUAGAUAUUCGGAAGAACACCAGUGGCGAAGGCGACUUACUGGACACAUAUUGACGCUGAGGUGCGAAAGCGUGGGGAGCAAACAGG